UUAGUUGGUGGGGUAAAAGCCUACCAAGGCCACGAUCGGUAGCUGGUCUGAGAGGACGAUCAGCCACACUGGGAUUGAGAACGGCCCAGACUCCUACGGGGGGCAGCAGUGAGGAAUUUUCGGCAAUGGGGGCAACCCUGACCGAGCAACGCCGCGUGCAGGAAGAAGGUUUUCGGAUCGUAAACUGCUUUUCUCUGGGACGAGCAAGGACGGUACCAGAGGAAGAAGCCCCGGCUAACUACGUGCCAGCAGCCGCGGUAAUACGUAGGGGGCGAGCGUUGUCCGGAGUUACUGGGCGUAAAGCGCACGCAGGCGGUCGUGUCAGUUUGGGGUUACAGCUCCCGGCUCAACCGGGAGAGCGCCUCGAAGACGGCAGGACUUGAGGGCCAGAGAGGGACACAGAAUUCCGGGUGGAGUGGUGAAAUGCGUAGAUAUCCGGAGGAAUACCAAAGGCGAAGGCAGUGUCCUGGCUGGCACCUGACGCUGAGGUGCGAAAGCUAGGGGAGCGAACGGGAUUAGAUACCCCGGUAGUCCUAGCCGUAAACGAUGACCACUAGGUGUGCGGGGUAUCGACCCCCUGCGUGCCGGAGCUAACGCACUAAGUGGUCCGCCUGGGGAGUACGGUCGCAAGAUUAAAACUCAAAGGAAUUGACG
rnacentral:rRNA from 1 species